AGCAGCCGCGGUAAUUCCAGCUCCAAUAGCGUAUAUUAAAGUUGUUGCAGUUAAAAAGCUCGUAGUUGAAUUUCGGGAUUGACACAUCGGUCGUGCCUUAAGGGGUAUGAACUGGUGUAGUCAAUUUCUCACCUUCUGGAGAACCGCAAUGCCCUUAAUUGGGUGUCGCGGGGAACCAGGACCUUUACUUUGAAAAAAUUAGAGUGUUUAAAGCAGGCAUUUUGCUUGAAUACAUUAGCAUGGAAUAAUAAAAUAGGACGGAUGAUUCUAUUUUGUUGGUUUCUAGGACCACCGUAAUGAUUAAUAGGGAUAGUUGGGGGCAUUAGUAUUCAAUUGUCAGAGGUGAAAUUCUUGGAUUUAUUGAAGACUAACUACUGCGAAAGCAUUUGCCAAGGAUGUUUUCAUUAAUCAAGAACGAAAGUUAGGGGAUCGAAGACGAUCAGAUACCGUCGUAGUCUUAACCAUAAACUAUGCCGACUAGGAAUCAGACGAUGUUAAUUUUUAAUUGACUCGUUUGGUC
rnacentral:rRNA from 1 species